AGAAAAUCAGCAGAAAUAAGCCGUAACAUUAAGAACUUUUUAGCGUACUGCCUGUGUAAAGUGGAAAAAAUCAAAAAUUGUGUGUCUCAUGUCUCAGAAGCCGGCAGCAGACGAAGCGGGACGGAAAAGCAAAAAUUCGGUGCAAAAAAACUGCGCAUUAGACUCUCAGAAGCCGCAAGCAGAGGAAGCGAGACAGCGUGUGGGAGAAAAGAAGAACCGAGAAAAAAGGGUUGUUUCAAGCCGGCUGCCCACAAGAGUAUUGCGCAGUAGAAUUAUAAUGGAAAAUACAAGUGGACCACCAGCCGGGAAUAUGCAGCAAAAC